CAGUCGCCGCGGGAAUACGUAGGGUGCAAGCGUUAAUCGGAAUUACUGGGCGUAAAGCGUGCGCAGGCGGUGUUGUAAGACUGAUGUGAAAUCCCCGGGCUCAACCUGGGAACUGCAUUGGUGACUGCAACGCUGGAGUGCGGCAGAGGGGGAUGGAAUUCCGCGUGUAGCAGUGAAAUGCGUAGAUAUGCGGAGGAACACCGAUGGCGAAGGCAAUCCCCUGGGCCUGCACUGACGCUCAUGCACGAAAGCGUGGGGAGCAAACAGGAUUAGAUACCCCCGUAGUCCCUGUCUCUUAUAC
rnacentral:rRNA from 1 species